UUCUGAUGUAGCUCACUUGGUAGAGCAUGAGACUCUUAAGCUCAGGGUCGUUGGUUCAAGCCCCACAUUGGGGGAAA
rnacentral:tRNA from 1 species